GGUUGAUCUGAAGGUAGCGAGUGAUCUCAAUGAAUUGUACAGUUACAGAUUGAACUCCUUGUUCUAUCCUUUCCCCCUUCUCACUACUGCAUUUGACCAGAUUUAA
ensembl:misc_RNA Y_RNA Y RNA